AGAGUUUGAUCCUGGCUCAGGAUGAACGCCUGGCGGCAUGCUUAACACAUGCAAGUUGAACGGACAAUCACCCUUCGGGGUGUGCGUUAGUGGCGGACGGGUGAGUAACGCGUGAGGAACCUGCCUUGCAGUGGGGAAUAACAGCCGGAAACGACUGCUAAUACCGCAUGAUGCAUAGAAGUCGCAUGGCUUUUGUGCCAAAGAUUUAUCGCUGUGAGAUGGCCUCGCGUCUGAUUAGCUUGUUGGCGGGGUAACGGCCCACCAAGGCGACGAUCAGUAGCCGGACUGAGAGGUUGGCCGGCCACAUUGGGACUGAGACACGGCCCAGACUCCUACGGGAGGCAGCAGUGGGGAAUAUUGGGCAAUGGGCGCAAGCCUGACCCAGCAAUGCCGCGUGAAGGAAGACGGUUUUCGGAUUGUAAACUUCUUUUAACAGGGACGAUAAUGACGGUACCUGUUGAAUAAGCUCCGGCUAACUACGUGCCAGCAGCCGCGGUAAUACGUAGGGAGCAAGCGUUAUCCGGAUUUACUGGGUGUAAAGGGCGUGUAGGCGGGACAACAAGUCAGAUGUGAAAGCACGAGGCUCAACCUCGUGUCUGCAUUUGAAACUGUAGUUCUUGAGUGCUGGAGAGGCUAACGGAACUCCUAGUGUAGCGGUGAAAUGCGUAGAUAUUAGGAAGAACACCAGUGGCGAAGGCGGUUAGCUGGACAGUAACUGACGCUGAGGCGCGAAAGCGUGGGUAGCAAACAGGAUUAGAUACCCUGGUAGUCCACGCAGUAAACGAUGGAUACUAGGUGUGCGGGGACUGACCCCCUGCGUGCCGCAGCAAACGCAAUAAGUAUCCCACCUGGGGAGGACGAUCGCAAGGUUGAAACUCAAAGGAAUUGACGGGGGCCCGCACAAGCGGUGGAGCAUGUGGUUUAAUUCGAAGCAACGCGAAGAACCUUACCAGGUCUUGACAUCCCGGUGACCGGCAUAGAGAUAUGCCUUCCCUUCGGGGCACCGGUGACAGGUGGUGCAUGGUUGUCGUCAGCUCGUGUCGUGAGAUGUUGGGUUAAGUCCCGCAACGAGCGCAACCCCUAUUGUUAGUUGCUACGCAAGAGCACUCUAGCGAGACUGCCGUUGACAAAACGGAGGAAGGUGGGGACGACGUCAAAUCAUCAUGCCCCUUAUGACCUGGGCCACACACGUGCUACAAUGGCGUAUAACAAAGGGAGGCAAAGCCGCGAGGCAGAGCGAACCCCCAAAAUACGUCUCAGUUCGGAUUGCAGGCUGCAACUCGCCUGUAUGAAGUUGGAAUCGCUAGUAAUCGCGAAUCAGCAUGUCGCGGUGAAUGCGUUCCCGGGCCUUGUACACACCGCCCGUCACACCAUGAGAGUCGGGAACACCCGAAGUCCGUAGCCUGACCGCAAGGGGGGCGCGGCCGAAGGUGGGUUCGAUAAUUGGGGUGAAGUCGUAACAAGGUAGCCGUAGGAGAACCUGCGGCUGGAUCACCUCCUUUCU
rnacentral:rRNA from 1 species